rnacentral:ncRNA from 1 species
ACAAGGGAAUGAGGUUCUCCCGUAGGUUUAUCCUAAAACCGCUGAUGAAGCUGAUGACUUCUGCGC